GGAAAUUUGCACUUUUGCACAAGCACGAGCAGCAGCAGCAGGCUGGGGAUGAAGUGAUUCACAGCAUGGAGAAGGGGGAGGGAGGGUAGGGCAGAGGAGUUUGACACUUCUGCAUCAUUUCCUUUCACAUGAGGUUUGCUGUUGUUGGUGCCUUGAUCUGAUUUGUGUCGUCUGUCUGCCUUCUCACUUACCUUCUGGUGGCACGUUGAUACUGUGAUGGAUCUGAGGGCUCUUGUGAUCAUCUCGGCGCUCGCUCUUGUGACUAAUGGAAAUACCCAAACUCCAGAUUAUAACCAAACUGAAAACUACACUGUCAGCUCCAUUUCCCUGACUAGCAGUCCUGCGACAACUGCCACCACCUCUAAAAGUACAAACUUCGUGGAUAACUUCACUUCUUCAACCAAAUGUAAAGCUGAGAAGGACGCGACACAGCUGAAGACCUACAAAGUGAUGACAGCGUUGCUCUUCUGCAUAUUGCUCAUCCUUUUCCUGAUGCGCUUCACCAGACCUACUGUAAAAGCCCUGCAGAAGAGAUUGUCAGACAGGAGGCAGAAUCGUUGGAUAGGACCUACACAGAGUCACAGCGUGUCUUAUCAUCGAGGGAAAACUGCAGUUAAAAAUAAUGAUGGAGAUAAGAGACACUCCUACCCUGCUCUGGAUCGUUUGGUAAUCUCUGACAGCAGAGAGCCUUCAUCCAAUAGGAACAGUGACUACAACCUCUGACUUGCAUCUUACUCCAUCAUCUUCCUCCAUCAUCUUCCUCCGUCAUAAUCAACAUCAAUGUCAUCAUUGUCUUAUGUGAGCUGGAAAUGUAGUAUGUUUUCAUUUGUAGCUAUAUUUCACCUAUUUUGUGAGUCUAUCAAGAAGUCACAAAUUUAGGUUCAAAGUUAUGUAAAAGUGAGUUUCAUUGUGGCCUCACCACUGUGAGAGAUCCACUGUGAGAGAACAAAAACGUUGCACAGGGUCUCAUCCUUGCCUUACAGAGUGCAGCUACAACACCAACCCAUAAACUGUAGAGCACACACACACACACACACACACACACACGCUCACACACACACACACACACACACACACACACACACACACACACACACACACACACACACAAUAUUCAUGAAUGACUGUACAGCACACAAUUUUGUAGUAGAUAAAAUCCAAAUCAAUUCACCCAGUUCUUGUUUUGAAAGUCAUGUCAGAGUAUGCUGUGCAAUCAUUCCACCCUGGAAAAGAACAAAGAAGUCAUUAAAAGGAGCUUCAUCAAAUCAGACAUCUGUUUAUAGUUUGCUUUGCUGGAAUUUAGCUUUACGUGCCAGUCGUGUAAAGUUUAUAUCAAUAAAACAUACAGGAUGUACCACACGGCUGUGCGUCUACACACACCUAGAUUUCCAAGUUUACAUUAAUGUAGUUGAGUUUUUUCUCAAUCACACAGCUAUAAAAUCACAUCUAUUCCAAAAUAGUCAUAUAUAACCUUAGUUCAAAGCUCCCCAUGUUUCUGUGUGUCUGAAUGUAACUAUGUUUCUGUGAGCUGUGUCCAAAUGACUCUCGACACUGAAACAGAUGGCGUUACACAUUUAUACAUGUUGUACAAAGCCUGUAACUUAACCAUAAAUAAAUAUAAGACAGAGACAGGACCAUUUAAAUCAUUUCUACAUCUCUGACAUGUGAGUUGUCGCCCUCAUCGUCUCAAACUUUAACCGAAUCCUUUGUCCUGUUUUGCAGAGCCUUAUCUCCAUCACAGUCCAUUUAGUUUUAGUUCAGUUUAAUCCACUUAAUCUAUUAAUAUCUCAAACACAUAAACAUUUUUAAUUAAGGGUCUCUACCUUACAAUGUAAAGCACCUUAAGACAACCUCUGUGUUUAAAUAUAACUGAAUUGAAUAAAGUUUUGAAUUGCAUCACAUUUUGACGUGUUCAUAAACAACAAAUAAAAUUCAACCUGUCUUCUCCUGGGCUUAGUCAGGCUCACGUCACUCAAUGAUUCAGAAGAAUCCACUAAGCAAUUAGAAAUGUCUAAAGUUGUUUUUUGUUUUUUUAUUUAUUGUUUAAUAUGAAAGUUAGUCAUCAAGAAGGAUGGAAAACAGAAAAUGCUAUUUUAAGCAAGCACUCCAGUUUUUUAAAUGGUAACUUCCAGAUAAAUGUUUUUCUUUCUGUGCUUUAUUCUAUUAAAUGUUGUGUCUGUUCGAGUAUAACUUUAGUGUUAGUGCAGUUAGUGGCCUCAGCGGCUUCACAGUACUUUUCACUUAUUGAAUACUUUUUACUUUGCUUGCUUACAAGUUUCACAACUUGAACUCUUUGUGUAUGAAUAACCAAUGAUGAUCCUGAGAACUGCAGGAACAAUCUUCAACAUGUUGUAAAUAUUCUCCUCAUCAAAAGAUUUUCAGAAGAAGAACAAUUGGAGUGUAACAUGGUAAUAUAGUACUGUUUGUAAUACUAAGUGCAACUUUUUGUCAUAAGUAAAAUGAUUCAACCAAG
ensembl:lncRNA